rnacentral:lncRNA from 1 species
AAUAGAUUUCUUGUUUUUGUUUUUCUUCUCAUACAUAACCAUCAAUUUUUCCCAUAGGGUAACGCUUCUUUUAAUCUACUUUUACUAGCCUAAUCAAUUUUGUUUUUGGUACAUUAGGUAGGAGAUAAAAAUGAAGAUGGUCGGAUUCGAAUUUUCUAUCUUACGUGUUGUUUUAAACUUUUUUAAUUACUAAAUUAAGAAAUUAAAGACAUAGCGUGCAAGAAAAACAUGGAAAACUUCAACCUACAUUGACAAAUUUGCCAACUGUUUAUCUUAAUUUUAAUCCAAGUUUUUUACUUUGCUACUUGUUAGCUUCUCACAUAUAAUUAAGUUACCAAUCCUUACCCAAAAAUAUUGUUGGAUUAUCCUUUAUAAUUGUCAAUGAUUAAGCCAAAUUAAAGGGGCAUGGCACUAUUAAUUUAUUACAAUUAAAAAGCUUAUGAUUUUGGGAGUUCAAUUAAAACAUUGAAAAUUGCCAAAUCAGGAAAUGUAGACGCAUAAGAAGUAAAAAAGGCAACAAAUAGGAAAAGAUCAAACUGGGGACGGCUGAACCAAAUAUAUAACUUAUGUACAUUGCAUGUGGAUUAGGUGCAUGACUUGAUUUACUGAUUAAGUCGCCUUCAGUUUCUCACUAAUAUAUUGUUUCCAUAUAUAAUCUACAGCUUUCUCUUUUUUUAAAUUUGGUAGACGGAUUUUCAACAUCUAGUGACGAAUCCUUUUGCUUUUUCUCCUUUAGUUUCUCAUUUAUGGCUCCUUUUCAAACUUGAACACGUUGAUUGAAUGAUGGCCAAAGCCCAAAAGUUCAUCUAGUGACCCUAAUGCUGGCUAGCGCCCUUUCUUUUCCGUGACUCGCCCGAGGCUUCUUUCAAAGAAAUUUCUACGUCAAAGAAGGAGAAAGAAAAAGGGCGUCGGCAUAAAUUUGAAAGUUGAUUCGAUCCGAAGACUAAAUGCUAUUUUGUUUGGUAUGGUACCGUACGGUAAUAUGUAUAUAUCAACUUUAUGAAGCUUUUUUCUUUUGAAUUUUCCUCUUUAACCAAACUCGUGUGGUUGGACUUGGAAUUCAACAAACAGUGCCAAGAAAUUUCCAUGCAUGGGCGUCGCCGUAUUGAGAAAUUCGCAAAAUAGAAGGAAGAAAAAGAAACAGCAAAGUAAGAGGUUUCUGUUCAAACUAAUGGCGCCCAAUGUAAGAAGAUUAAGGAAAAGGGAUAGCAUAUUAGGAUUAUUCCCACGAUAAACAAGAUUCCAUUAAAAAUUUUACAAGAAAAAAGUUGCGUUUUAUUCUUGGCAAGUUUAGAUUAGCACAGCUUUAAAACGUGGGAAUAAACAAAAAUUUUAAAUAUAGGUUUUAACGAUGUGAAGCCAAUGAUGUAAUUGAGUUAAGUCAAAUUGAUAUAAUGAGAAGUUUAAGUUUAAAUUUGAUUCAAAAUUUAUUAUUCGAAAUUCGAUUUGAAUUCGAUCAAACUUUAAUUUUUAAAUUUGAAUUUGAUUUAAGAUAAAAAUUAAAAUUUUCGAAUUUGCUCGAUUAAACUCGUUUAUUGAAAAAAAAAUUGAUUGUUAUAUUCGACUUCAAACUCGAUUAUUUGUAUUUAAAUUCAAAUUCAC